rnacentral:rRNA from 1 species
AUCUGGAGAGGAUGUUUCUGGCGCGGCGCCUUCCGAGUUCCCUGGAACGGGACGCCGGAGAGGGUGAGAGCCCCGUACGGUUGGACGCCUAGCCUUUGUGAAGCUCCUUCGACGAGUCGAGUAGUUUGGGAAUGCUGCUCAAAAUGGGAGGUAAAUUUCUUCUAAAGCUAAAUACCGGCCAGAGACCGAUAGCGCACAAGUAGAGUGAUCGAAAGAUGAAAAGCACUUUGAAAAGAGGGUCAAACAGUACGUGAAAUUGUUGAAAGGGAAGCGCCCGUGGCCAGACUUGUACCCCGCGGACCAUCCAGCGCCCUCAGCGCCGGUGCACUCCGUGGGGCGCAGGCCAGCAUCGGUUUUCCCAGGGGGAUAAAGGCGGCGGGAACGUGGCUCCCUCGGGAGUGUUAUAGCCCGCCGCGCCAUGCCCCUGGGGGGACCGAGGACCGCGCUUCGGCAAGGAUGCUGGCGUAAUGGCCACCGGCGACCCGUCUUGAAACACGGACCAAGGAGUCAAGCAUUGGGGCGAGUGUCUGGGUGCCAAACCCGCACGCGAAAUGAAAGUGAACGCAGGUGAGAGCUUCGGCGCAUCAUCGACCGAUCCUGAUGUUCUCGGAUGGAUUUGAGUAAGAGCCUUACCGCUUGGACCCGAAAGAUGGUGAAGUAAGCCUGUAUAGGGUGAAGCCAGAGGAAACUCUGGUGGAGG